rfam:Rhizopus oryzae RA 99-880 supercont3.8 genomic scaffold, whole genome shotgun sequence.
GCCGUGAUAGUAUAGUGGCAGUACGUAGCGUUGUGGCCGCUUCGACGCAGGUUCGAUUCCUGCUCACGGCA